rnacentral:rRNA from 1 species
UACAGAGGUCUCAAGCGUUGUUCGGAUUCAUUGGGCGUAAAGGGUGCGUAGGUGGCGGGGUAAGUCUGGUGUGAAAUCUCGGGGCUCAACCCCGAAACUGCACUGGAUACUGCCUUGCUCGAGUACUGGAGAGGAGAUUGGAAUUUACGGUGUAGCAGUGAAAUGCGUAGAUAUCGUGAGGAAGACCAGUGGCGAAGGCGGGUCUCUGGACAGUUCCUGACGCUGAGGCGCGAAGGCCAGGGGAGCAAACGGG